rnacentral:rRNA from 1 species
GGAUUGCCUCAGUAACGGCGAGUGAAGCGGCAAGAGCUCAAAUUUGAAAGCUGGCCCCCUCGGGGUCCGCGUUGUAAUUUGCAGAGGAUGCUUCGGGUGCAGCCCCCGUCUAAGUGCCCUGGAACGGGCCGUCAUAGAGGGUGAGAAUCCCGUCUGGGACGGGGUGUCUGCGUCCGUGUGAAGCUCCUUCGACGAGUCGAGUUGUUUGGGAAUGCAGCUCUAAAUGGGUGGUAAAUUUCAUCUAAAGCUAAAUACUGGCCGGAGACCGAUAGCGCACAAGUAGAGUGAUCGAAAGAUGAAAAGCACUUUGAAAAGAGAGUUAAACAGCACGUGAAAUUGUUGAAAGGGAAGCGUUUGCGACCAGACUCGCCCGCGGGGUUCAGCCGGCAUUCGUGCCGGUGUACUUCCCCGUGGGCGGGCCAGCGUCGGUUUGGGCGGCCGGUCAAAGGCCCUCGGAAUGUAUCACCUCUCGGGGUGUCUUAUAGCCGAGGGUGCAAUGCGGCCUGCCCGGACCGAGGAACGCGCUUCGGCUCGGACGCUGGCGUAAUGGUCGUAAAUGACCCG